AAAACGUUGUGGAAAUUGCUUAUCAAUCUAUUCCUUUUGAUGGAGAUAAUAGAACAGCUCGUGCUUUAUUGUUUUUGAUCCACAGAAGUCAAAAACAAUGCAUACACCAGCAGGAACACUCACAUAUUGUGGAAAAAGUUUGUUUGUGGCUGUCAUGAAAACAAUGUAUUCGUAUUUGACAGUUAUGCAGAGCACAGGCGCUGUAAAUAAAGAAGUGGAAAGAUUGAAUGCAGAGCAUCAACAUUAGAAAAAAAAAAAAAGAAAAAUGUUCUAGAUGGCAAUUUUCAGCUGCACAAAAAUACACACUAAUCAAUUAAUAAUUAAGUGUUGGGAAAUUUUGCAGCUUGCAAAAUAUCACCUUAAACACGUGGUAGAAGAUAAUUACAAAGCACAAUGAUUAAAAAAAAUUAAAUAUUUCUAUUUCUGCACAUAAGUAAAGUUAAAAAUGCAAAAAUUGUAUUUUUUCACAAAAAAUAAAAUUUUCUCUUUAAAAAGGCACAAAAA